GAUGAACGCUGGCGGCGUGCCUAAUACAUGCAAGUCGAGCGAACGGACGAUAAUCUUGCUUCUCUGAUGUUAUCGGCGGACGUGUUAUUAACACUUUGAUAACCUACCUAUAUGACUGGUAUAACUUCGGGAAACCGGAUCUAAUACCGGCUAAUAUUUUGAACCGCUUGUUUCUUAAGUUAUAGACUUUCUUUCUUUCACUUUUAGAUGUUUCCUCUCUUCAUUAGCUAGUUGGUAAGGUAACGGCUUACCAAGGCAACGAUGCAUAGCCGACGUGAGAGGGUGAUCGGACAAACUGGAACGGAGACAAGGUAAAGACGACUACGGGAGGCAGCAGAAGGGAAUAGGCCGCAAUGGGCGAAAGCAUGACGGAGCAAAGCCGCGUGAGAGAUGAAGGACUAAGGAUCGUAAAAAUCUGUUAUUAGGGAAGAACAUAUGUGUAAGUAAAUGAGAAAAGAUUGACGGUAACAAAUAAGAAAGCAACGGCUAACUACGUG
rnacentral:rRNA from 1 species